rnacentral:rRNA from 1 species
AUGAAAAUCAUCCAAGACUUUGGUGAAGCAAUGGGUCUGAAGAUAAAUCUGAGCAAAUCAACUGCCACUCCCAUUUGUUGUGAAGAUAUUAAUCUACCCGAGGUUCUGCAGAGGUUUGGUGGGCAAACUAAAAACUUCCCAAUAACCUACCAUGGUAUGCCGAUCACCCCCUCAAGAAUCAGAAUGGUGCAUCUACAAUUUGUGCUUGACUACAUCAGGGCCAGACUCACAAGCUGGAAACGGAAGCUCCUCUCCACUGCAGGCCGAUGAGUCCUGGUUCACGUCGUGCUUAGCUCUCUGCCAACUUUCACCAUCACUGCUCUUCGAUUCCCGAAGAAAAUUCUCAAGGAAGUUGAGAAAUCAAGAAGAUGCUUCCUCUGGGUCCAAGACGAGGAAAUCACUGGCAAGUGUAAAGUCAGCUGGACCAAGGUGUGCUCCCCGGUGAAGUACAUAGGCCUCGGAAUCCUUGAUCUAAAAAUAUUUAGUAGAGCCCUACGACUGAGAUGGUUAUGGAAUUCUUGGGGGGGGGGGCAACGAUCGUGA